rnacentral:rRNA from 1 species
AAGCGCAGUAAUGUGUGUAGCUGACGAAUACUAAUCGAUCGAAGACUUAAUCAAAAUU